GCGGGAGUAGCAUAGUAUGGUAAUGUCCUAGCCUUCCAAGCUAGUUAUGCGGGUUCGAUUCCCGUCUCCCGCU
rnacentral:tRNA from 1 species